rnacentral:rRNA from 1 species
UGAGCCAAGUUUAGGGUUUUCUCAAAACCCAAGCAGUAUUGAACUGAAGAGUUUGAUCAUGGCUCAGAUUGAACGCUGGCGGCAGGCCUAACACAUGCAAGUCGAGCGGAUGAAGGGAGCUUGCUCCUGGAUUCAGCGGCGGACGGGUGAGUAAUGCCUAGGA